GUUAUUUUGGCAGAAUAGUGCAAUAGAUUUAGGAUCUUUUUAUGUAAUUUACUUACAAAUAAUA
rnacentral:tRNA from 1 species